CCUACGGGUGGCUGCAGUGAGGAAUAUUGGUCAAUGGAGGAAACUCUGACCCAGCAAUGCCGCGUGAAUGAAGACGGUCUUCGGAUUGUAAAGUUCUUUAGUCAGAGGAGAAUAAAAUGACGGUACCUUAUUACGAAACCCCCGCUACCUACGUGCCAGCAGCCGCGGUAAUCCGUAGGGGGCAAGCGUUAUCCGGAUUUAUUGGGUGUAAAGGGAGCGUAGGCGGCAGCAAAAGUCAGGAGUGAAAUGCCGGGGCUUAACCCGGGAACUGCCUUGGAAACUGUUCAGCUAGAGUGCAGGUGCGGUAAGCGGAAUGUCUGGUGUAGCGGUGAAAUGCGUAGAGAUCA
rnacentral:rRNA from 1 species